GCAUAUUUUACCCUCCAGACAUGUCAGAGUCCAUUGUUCCCCCCGAAGUGAGACCCAAACUGCUGUCCCUGCCAAGCCCCCUCAUGUCGCAGAGCCAUCCCCCACAGCACCCCAUGGACCAUCAGGGCUAGGUGGCGGGGUCGGGGUUGAUCGAGUUCCAGGGUGGGACACACGGGCAGUGGAUCCACGUUGCUGGGAUACAUUGGGAUUGACACCAUCAUCGAGCAGAUGAGGAAGAAGACCAUGAAGGCUGGUUUCGACUUCAAUAUUAUGAUAGGGGUCACAGCGGGCUGGGGAAGUCAACGCUGGUGAACACGCUGUUCAAGUCCCAGGUCAGCAGGUGGAGCUCAGGAUGGGGCGGCGAGCAUAAGAUCCCCAAGACAGUGGAGAUCAAGGCAGUGUCCCACGUGAUCGAGGAGGGCGGAGUGAAGAUGAAGUUGACAGUAAUCGACACACCAGGUUUUGGUGAUCAGAUCAACAAUGAAAACUGGUGAG